GAUGAGUACGUGGCGUACGGGUGAGUAACACGUGGAUCAUCUACCUUCUAGUGGGGAAUACCGUUCCGAAAGGGACGACAAUACCGCAUAAGCUCGAGAGAGGAAAGUCGAAAGACGCUGGAAGAGGAGUCCGCGGCUGAUUAGCUAGUUGGUGAGGUAAUGGCUCACCAAGGCUGAGAUCAGUAGCCGGCCUGAGAGGGCACACGGCCACACUGGCACUGAAACACGGGCCAGACUCCUACGGGAGGCAGCAGUGGGGAAUCUUGCACAAUGGGGGAAACCCUGAUGCAGCGACGCCGCGUGAGCGAUGAAGCCCUUCGGGGUGUAAAGCUCUUUCGGCAGGGAAGAUGAUGACGGUACCUGCAGAAGCAGCUGCGGCUAACUACGUGCCAGCAGCCGCGGUAAUACUUAGGCAGCAAGCGUUGUUCGGAGUUACUGGGCGUAAAGGGUGUGUAGGCGGUUGGAUAAGUGUGGUGUGAAAUCUCCCGGCUUAACUGGGAGGGUGCGCUACAAACUGUCUGACUAGAGUGCGGGAUGGGAAAGUGGAAUUCCUGGUGUACCGGUGAAAUGCGUAGAUAUCAGGAGGAACACCGGUGGUGUAGACGGCUUUCUGGACCGUAACUGACGCUGAUACACGAAUGCUUGGGUAUCAAACCAUGGAUUA
rnacentral:rRNA from 1 species